rnacentral:rRNA from 1 species
GACGAACGCUGGCGGCGUGCUUAACACAUGCAAGUCGAACGGAAAGGCCCUGCUUUUGUGGGGUGCUCGAGUGGCGAACGGGUGAGUAACACGUGAGUAACCUGCCCUUGACUUUGGGAUAACUUCAGGAAACUGGGGCUAAUACCGGAUAGGAGCUCCUGCUGCAUGUUGGGGGUUGGAAAGUUUCGGCGGUUGGGGAUGGACUCGCGGCUUAUCAGCUUGCUGGUGGGGUAGUGGCUUACCAAGGCUUUGACGGGUAGCCGGCCUGAGAGGGUGACCGGCCACAUUGGGACUGAGAUACGGCCCAGACUCCUACGGGAGGCAGCAGUGGGGAAUAUUGCACAAUGGGCGGAAGCCUGAUGCAGCAACGCCGCGUGCGGGAUGACGGCCUUCGGGUUGUAAACCGCUUUCGCCUGUGACGAAGCGUGAGUGACGGUAAUGGGUAAAGAAGCACCGGCUAACUACGUG